AGUCGGUACAAGCGUUGUAUAACUCUCUUCUUUCACCUGAAGCUCAACUAGUUUACCCCUGGAACCAUGGAGCGCUUCAUCUGAAUUUUCAGAAGCGAACGGGUGAGCUAAAACCCUCCAAAACGAAUAACCGGCUGCCCUC